rnacentral:rRNA from 1 species
AGAGAGAGACAUGCGCGCAUAUCAAUAAGCGGAGGAAAAGAAACUAACUAGGAUUCCCUUCAGUAACGGCGAGUGAAGCGGGAAGAGCUCAAAUUUGAAAUCUUCAAGGUUUUACCUUGACGAAUUGUAGUUUAAAGAAGUGUUUUCUGCUGGAGUUUUGGUAAAAGUUCUUUGGAAUAGGACAUCAUAGAGGGUGAGAAUCCCGUAUUUGACCAUUAUUUCAGCUUUGUGAUACACUUUCAAAGAGUCGGAUUGUUUGGGAAUGCAGUCCAAAAUGGGUGGUAAAUUUCAUCUAAAGCUAAAUAUUGGCGGAGAGACCGAUAGCGAACAAGUACCGUGAGGGAAAGAUGAAAAGAACUUUGAAAAGAGAGUUAAACAGUACGUGAAAUUGUCAAAAGGGAAGCGUUUGACACCAGUGUUGUUUUCUCGAAAAUCAAUUAAAAAUGGCUCGAUUUUGUAUUGCUUGAGACCUUAAAAGCUCACUGUACAUUUUUCGUGUCUUUUUUAAUGCACUUUUCGUUUAACAAGUCAACAUCAGUUUCUUUUGUUGUAAAAGGGUCAUUGGAAGGUGGCUUUCUUUUCGGAGAAAGUGUUUAUAGCCUUUGGCCUCUGCAAUCGGAGAGACUGAGGUCUGCAGCGUAGACUCUUCGGGGUUAGAUACAUUUGUGCUAAGUUAUAGCUUUUUAUAGACAACUUGUUGACUAUAAUUAGUCUUGUAGCUUACUCGCUUAUGCUAUUUUACCUACGCUUAGGAUGUUGAAGAUGUAGCACAUCAU